rnacentral:rRNA from 1 species
GAUGAACGCUGGCGGCGUGCUUAACACAUGCAAGUCGAACGGGAAAUAUUUCAUUGAGACUUCGGUGGAUUUGAUUUAUUUCUAGUGGCGGACGGGUGAGUAACGCGUGGGUAACCUGCCUUAUACAGGGGGAUAACAGUCAGAAAUGGCUGCUAAUACCGCAUAAGCGCACAGAGCUGCAUGGCUCAGUGUGAAAAACUCCGGUGGUAUAAGAUGGACCCGCGUUGGAUUAGCUAGUUGGUGGGGUAACGGCCCACCAAGGCGACGAUCCAUAGCCGGCCUGAGAGGGUGAACGGCCACAUUGGGACUGGGACACGGCCCAGACUCCUACGGGAGGCAGCAGUGGGGAAUAUUGCAAAAUGGGGGAAACCCUGAUGCAGCGACGCCGCGUGAAGGAAGAAGUAUCUCAGUAUGUAAACUUCUAUCAGCAGGGAAGAUAGUGACGGUACCUGACUAAGAAGCCCCGGCUAACUACGUG